rnacentral:rRNA from 1 species
UACGGAAGGCAGCAGUGGGGAAUAUUGCACAAUGGGCGAAAGCCUGAUGCAGCUAUGCCGCGUGUAUGAAGAAGGCCUUAGGGUUGUAAAGUACUUUCAGCGGGGAGGAAGGCGAUGUGGUUAAUAACCGCGUCGAUUGACGUUACCCGCAGAAGAAGCACCGGCUAACUCCGUGCCAGCAGCCGCGGUAAUACGGAGGGUGCAAGCGUUAAUCGGAAUUACUGGGCGUAAAGCGCACGCAGGCGGUCUGUUAAGUCAGAUGUGAAAUCCCCCGGGCUUAACCUGGGAACUGCAUUUUGAAACUGGCAGGCUUGAGUCUCGUAGAGGGGGUAGAAUUCCAGGUGUAGCGGUGAAAUGCGUAGAGAUCUGGAGGAAUACCGGUGGCGAAGGCGGCCCCUGGGACGAAGACUGACGCUCAGGUGCGAAAGCGUGGGGAGCAAACAGGAUUAGAUACC